UACGUAGGGUCCGAGCGUUGUCCGGAAUUACUGGGCGUAAAGAGCUCGUAGGCGGUUUGUCGCGUCUGCCGUGAAAGUCCGGGGCUCAACUCCGGAUCUGCGGUGGGUACGGGCAGACUAGAGUGAUGUAGGGGAGACUGGAAUUCCUGGUGUAGCGGUGAAAUGCGUAGAUAUCAGGAGGAAUACCGGUGGUGUAGACGGCUCUCUGGACCGCCACUGGACGCUGAGACACGAAAAGCGUGGGUAGCAAACAGG
rnacentral:rRNA from 1 species